rnacentral:lncRNA from 1 species
UCGGAAUAUACUUGUAAGAUACUGGUUAUUAUACUAGGAUAGAGGAGAUCAGUCACCUUUCUAGAGGGAUACGAUCAGAUGUUAAUCGUUCCAGUAGAGAGCUCGAUCCGGCAGUUCGACGGUGACCAGUUUGCAGAUUUCUGAGUUUCUGAUGAUAUGGGAUGAGAUGACGGUUGGGUUGCAGGAUUGUUGGAGGGAUGAUUAAUUAAGGUGUGGAAUUUGAUG